rnacentral:rRNA from 1 species
CACCCGAAGUCGGUGGGGUAACCGCAAGGGGCCAGCCGCCUAAGGUGGGACAGAUGAUUGGGGUGAAGUCGUAACAAGGUAGCCGUAUCGGAAGGUGCGGCUGGAUCACCUCCUUU